UACAGAGGGUGCUAGCGUUAAUCGGAUUUACUGGGCGUAAAGCGUGUGUAGGCGGUUUGUUAAGUCGGGUGUGAAAUCCCUGAGCUCAACCUGGGAAUUGCAUUCGAUACUGGCAAGCUAGAGUACGGUAGAGGGCGGCGGAAUUCCGGGUGUAGCGGUGAAAUGCGUAGAUAUCCGGAGGAACACCGAUGGCGAAGGCAACCGCCUGGGCCUGUACUGACGCUGAGACACGAAAGCGUGGGGAGCAAACAGG
rnacentral:rRNA from 1 species